rnacentral:rRNA from 1 species
UUUAUUUGAUAGUACCUUUACCUGGAUAACCGUGGUAAUUCUAGAGCUAAUACAUGCUAAAAACCUCGACUUCGGAAGGGGUGUAUUUAUUAGAUAAAAAACCAAUGCCCUUCGGGGCUCCUUGGUGAUUCAUAAUAACUUAACGAAUCGCAUGGCCUUGCGCCGGCGAUGGUUCAUUCAAAUUUCUGCCCUAUCAACUUUCGAUGGUAGGAUAGUGGCCUACCAUGGUCUUAACGGGUAACGGGGAAUUAGGGUUCUAUUCCGGAGAGGGAGCCUGAGAAACGGCUACCACAUCCAAGGAAGGCAGCAGGCGCGCAAAUUACCCAAUCCCAAUACGGGGAGGUAGUGACAAUAAAUACUGAUACGGGGCUCUUUCGGGUCUCGUAAUUGGAAUGAGUACAAUCUAAAUCCCUUAACGAGGAACAAUUGGAGGGCAAGUCUGGUGCCAGCAGCCGCGGUAAUUCCAGCUCCAAUAGCGUAUAUUAAAGUUGUUGCCGUUAAAAAGCUCGUAGUUGAACCUUGGACCUGGCUGAUCUGUCCUCCUAAUCGAGCGCACGGAUUCGGUCGGGUCUUUCCUUCUGGGGAGCCCUAUGCCCUUCACUGGGUGUAGUGGGGAACCAGGACUUUUACCUUGAAAAAAUUAGAGUGUUCAAAGCAGGCCUUUGCUCGAAUACAUUAGCAUGGAAUAAUAGAAUAGGACAUCGGUUCUAUUUUGUUGGUUUCUAGGACCGCUGUAAUGAUUAAUAGGGAUAGUCGGGGGCGUCAGUAUUCAAUUGUCAGAGGUGAAAUUCUUGGAUUUAUUGAAGACUAACUACUGCGAAAGCAUUCGCCAAGGAUGUUUUCAUUAAUCAGUGAACGAAAGUUAGGGGAUCGAAGACGAUCAGAUACCGUCGUAGUCUUAACCAUAAACUAUGCCGACUAGGGAUCGGACGGUGGUUUU